GACGUAGGGCGCGAGCGUUGUCCGGAUUUAUUGGGCGUAAAGAGCUCGUAGGCGGCUUGUCGCGUCGUCCGUGAAAACCUGGGGCUCAACCCCAGGCUUGCGGUCGAUACGGGCAGGCUCGAGUUCGGUAGGGGAGACUGGAAUUCCUGGUGUAGCGGUGGAAUGCGUAGAUAUCGGGAGGAACACCAGUGGCGAAGGCGGUUACCUGGAGCUUUGCUGACGCUGAUGCGCGAAAGCGUGGGGAGCGAUCCGG
rnacentral:rRNA from 1 species